UACGUAGGGACCGAGCGUUGUCCGGAAUCAUUGGGCGUAAAGAGCGUGUAGGCGGCUUGCUAAGUCUUGCGUGAAAUCUCGGGGCUCAACCCCGAGCGGUCGUGGGAAACUGGCAGGCUAGAGUGCGGGAGAGGAGAAUGGAAUUCCUGGUGUAGCGGUGAAAUGCGCAGAUAUCAGGAAGAACACCCGUGGCGAAGGCGGCUCUCUGGGACGGUACUGACGCUGAGACGCGAAAAGCGUGGGGGAGCGAACAGG
rnacentral:rRNA from 1 species